rnacentral:rRNA from 1 species
UACGUAGGGUGCAAGCGUUAAUCGGAAUUACUGGGCGUAAAGCGUGCGCAGGCGGCUUUGCAAGACAGAUGUGAAAUCCCCGGGCUUAACCUGGGAAUGGCAUUGGUGACUGCACGGCUAGAGUGUGUCAGAGGGGGGUAGAAUUCCACGUGUAGCAGUGAAAUGCGUAGAGAUGUGGAGGAAUACCGAUGGCGAAGGCAGCCCUGCCUAGGCCAACACUGACGCUCAUGCACGAAAGCGUGGGGAGCAAACAGG